GGAGUAAGGUCUCGUUGGUGACCAGCGGAGGGAUCAUUACCGAGUUUACAACUCCCAAACCCCUGUGAACAUACCUAUACGUUGCCUCGGCGGAUCAGCCCGCGCCCUGUAAAAAGGGACGGCCCGCCCGAGGACCCUAAACUCUGUUUUUAGUGGAACUUCUGAGUAAAACAAACAAAUAAAUCAAAACUUUCAACAACGGAUCUCUUGGUUCUGGCAUCGAUGAAGAACGCAGCAAAAUGCGAUAAGUAAUGUGAAUUGCAGAAUUCAGUGAAUCAUCGAAUCUUUGAACGCACAUUGCGCCCGCCAGUAUUCUGGCGGGCAUGCCUGUUCGAGCGUCAUUUCAACCCUCAAGCUCAGCUUGGUGUUGGGACUCGCGGUAACCCGCGUUCCCCAAAUCGAUUGGCGGUCACGUCGAGCUUCCAUAGCGUAGUAAUCAUACACCUCGUUACUGGUAAUCGUCGCGGCCACGCCGUAAAACCCCAACUUCUGAAUGUUGACCUCGGAUCAGGUAGGAAUACCCGCUGAACUUAAGCAUAUCAAUAAGCGGAGGAA
rnacentral:rRNA from 1 species